CACUCUGUCUUCUGCUCAUGCUCAGUUAAAUGUUAAAUCCCAAAUAAUUCUCAUUGACAUUUACCCCUUACUGGCCCUUAGCCAUCAUUUACAUAAAAAAAUACUACCAAGAAACUUGAGUUUGUGAAUUAUGUGAAUAUUUAGGAAGAUGUACCAGUUACACCAGACCAGCAGCCCUACCAAUUCUACAAGGGUCUUCCAGUGCUCAAAGAGCAUUGCAAAUGCUCAAUGCAAACAGAGAAACAAGAAGCGUUCCCAGCUGCUAGAUUGGCUUAUGGAAGAAUAACCUAUAAAUAAGUAAUAUUAUCAUAAUAAUAUAAAUUAUAAAUAAGUAAUAGGGUGGAACGAAAAAGGUCAAAAAAAUAAAAGAAAAGAAAAAUUAAAA
rnacentral:lncRNA from 1 species